GAGUGGGGAUGCACGAGGCGGAGGGGAUGGGGCAGCGCAGAUGCAUCGGGAGGAAGGGGAGGGGACGAAAUAGUAGCGGUCUGCUGGAUGUGUUUUCUGGAGUUGGGAUUGUUGGAGUGGAGCAGUCCUUUUCUGGAGUUGGGAUUGUUGGAGCGGAGCAGUCCUAAACACGCUCUUAAUCUACUCGGUAGUUACAUGGAAGAUAAUUUGAG
rnacentral:lncRNA from 1 species